CAGCAGGUUGAGGGAACCUGCUAUCCUGUUCCUGGUCAGCAAAACAGGCUGAAAGCUGAGCUCUGUUUCUGCUCUUCUUGAAGCCCAGGAAUCAGUAAAUUGAGAAGAAGAGGAAUCAGAGCCUGAAGGGACCAAUCUACCUUGUGGCUGGAACCCAGAGGCUUGACUUUCUGGAAAAGAUACUUGUA
rnacentral:lncRNA from 1 species